rnacentral:tRNA from 1 species
GUCCAGGGAUGGGAAUCGAACCCAACAGUGUUCCGUUUACCAGGCAGAUGCCAUGUCCACUAGGCUACCCUGGA